GAAUUCGCCCUUAGUUCAAUCGCAAUGGCUUGAACCGGGUAAAAGUCGUAACAAGGUAUCUGUAGGUGAACCUGCAGAUGGAUCAUCGCUAAAACCACCACAAAACAAACUCAUCGUCAUCAUCGUUAUAGAGGUGAUGUGAUGCGUGGAUGGUUAAUGGAGGAAUGAUCAACGAGAAACCAACAUGCGUCACCAUGUAUGUAUGUGUGUAUGUAUGUAUGUAUGUAUGUAUGUACGUACAUACGUACGUAUAUAUGUAUAAUGUUGGCGGCUAUGUCGCCAAAGUUGGUAGUAUCGUAAUACCGUUAGAGCUCAACAAACAAGGUGUCUACGUAUAAGCAUGAGUCGUUCUAGAGUGACGGUUAUGAUUGUUUAUACGAGCGAAAGCAUACACACAAACUGUCGCUUAUGUAUAAGUUAAUGAUGCGAUUUGUUUCGUGAAUGUAUGAAGACUUAAUGAGCAUUGCAUGAAUGCCACCUUGAAUUGCUAUAGUUGUUGUGGAUGUUGAUGUCUGUUUCAUUACCGAUGUUGGUGUCGAUUUUUGCCGUUAACAUCGUAGUGAGAGACAAUGACAAUGACUACUGAAUAUGGUUGAUAGUGGUUAUGUUGGUGAUUAUGCAUGGCAUAGAUAUGAGUAAUAUAUGGCGUGUUCUAUUCGCUGUCUUCUAUGGAUGGCGCAUAGUGUCGCGUAUCUAUGACCAUGUGCCACCUGAUUAACAACAGGGAAUCCUAAUGACCCAAGCAUAAUAUAUGUGAAUGGGCGCCAACAUAGCAAAAACAGAAUUCCUAUAUGUGAGAAUGUGAAAAAGUGACAAUAUACACGUAUUCAUAUGUAUAUAUGUGUAUGUGUGUAUGGAAAUUGAUAUACUAGCUUCAGCGAUGGAUCGGUCGAUUCGCGUAUCGAUGAAAAACGCAGCUAGCUGUGUUAUUUACCACGAAUUGCAGACGCUUAGAGUGGUGAAAUUUUGAACGCAUAGCGUCGUUGGGUUUCCCCUUCGGCACAUCUGGUUCAGGGUUGUUAAAAAUUGGAACUAUUGUCGCAUACAUGUGCAUAUGACAGCACGUAUUCUUUACGCAUGAUGAAAGAAUGCUGGACAACAUUGCUUGUCGAACGGCGUUUUGCGUGGUCUUUUACGUGCGUGUGUUCAUGUUUGGACUAUUUGUCAAACGGUAACAGUGGUUGUCGUCGUCGAUAUGCUACUGUUCCCGUUUUAGUGAAGAAUACGAUAAUAGCUACAUGUAAUAAUUAUAUAUAUAUUAUUACACAAAACGUAAUAUGUGAUCAUGUGCUUGUAUGCUAGUAAUGUCAUUGCUACCGUCAUCGAUGUUGCUGAUUUUCAAUGAGUGUCGUUGAGAAUCGUGAAAUAAGAAGUAAUAUUAUCGAUCGAUGGGUGAAUGGAUGAAAUGUAUUUCAUAUGGUAAUGACAAGAAAUAUUGCUAGACAUAUUGCCAAUAGCACAUAGUUUUCAUGUAUUGCAUUUAAUUCUCAAAUAAUACAACCUGAACUCAGACGUGAUUACCCGCCGAACUUAAGCAUAUCAUUUAGCGGAGGAAAAG
rnacentral:rRNA from 1 species